rnacentral:rRNA from 1 species
UACGGAGGGAGCUAGCGUUGUUCGGAAUUACUGGGCGUAAAGCGCGCGUAGGCGGCUUUGUAAGUUAGAGGUGAAAGCCCGGGGCUCAACCCCGGAACAGCCUUUAAGACUGCAUCGCUAGAAUCCGGGAGAGGUGAGUGGAAUUCCGAGUGUAGAGGUGAAAUUCGUAGAUAUUCGGAAGGAACACCAGUGGCGAAGGCGGCUCACUGGUCCAGUAUGACGC